rnacentral:pre_miRNA from 1 species
GUAGUCGGAUUCACAUCAAUCCACAUGUGUUGGAGUGGAACUUGAACUAAAUUCUACCCCAGCACAUGUGGAUUGAGGUGAAUCAGACA